GGCGAACGCAGCCUGCUGGCGAGGGCGCGCUAGGCCGGGGCCCGUGGCCGCACGCAGGGCCCGGGGCGCGGGCGGGGCGCUCCUGCGGGGACCUCGGCGCGCCGGCUUCAGCGUCCACCCCUUCGACCCUCCGCCCACUCGGGCUCGGCCCCGGGGCCCGGCUGCAUUCCCGAGAGAGAAGCCGCGAGGCUGGCGGGGGCCGCGGGGCGCGGGGCGCGCGAGUGGGACCUGAGGCCCAGACACUAGCCCCCAGAUCGUCCCAGCUCGCUGCUCCUGGACUGGCCGGCCGGCUCUCCGUGAGUCCGGCCUCUGCUUCGCGGGGCAGCAAGUAGGCAGGUGCGGGGUUGGUGGUUGUUGGAAUCGUCCGCUGAAAUUGUGGUUCGAGAAGAGGUUUAAUAAACUUCGUGAGUGCGCAUCUCCAACAGCUCCGGGCAAACUUUCUUACUGCCCCCGGUGCCGGUGGAUCCGGGGGAGGAAGCUCCAACAGCCUCCUUUAAAAAAAAAAAAAAAAAAGCAAGCCCCGGGGACUGGCGCGUAAGAUGUUUCGGUCAAUGUCUAAGUAACUGUAGGGGGGAUUGCGGAGCGAGCUUUCUUUCCGCCAAGUUCAGCUCUCCUUCCACCCCCUCCAACAAAAGUGACUCGCUCGCGCUCUCCCGUCCCCUAGGCCCCUCCUCGUGUCUCCUGAGCGAGCCCCGCCGUGGAGAGGGGUGCAUUUCUCGGAGUCGGAACGCGCAGCGCCGAGACCUCCUUUGUGCCUGCCCUUGGCUGUGAACUUUCCCGCGCGGCGGGUUCUCCUUUAAGAAAAUAGCGAUCUCCAUGAAUAUUUAAUGCAGCGCGAGGGCCGUCCGGGCGGAGGGGAGUCCCGCGCCCGGGUCCCCACGGCCGCGACGGGGACCGGGGGGCCAGGGGCGCGAGCCCAGCCGGGGCGCGCGGCCUGGCGCGUUCAUUUCCAUAAGAAAGCCGGCGGCGCGGUCGGGGAGAGGAUCUGGCCCCCGGUCGCCCUCCCCUGGGGACUCGGCUUUCUGCUAGAAGCGGGCUCGGGAGCUCAGAGUCCCGAAUGUGCGCUCUGGUCUUUGAUGCUAUCGACAAAGUAUGGUUUCAGAUGUUGCCCAGGCUGAGGCCGGUUUCCUGUCUGUUUGUGGAGUGGAUGGAAGGACCGCGCCGGGUGAGUCCAAAGCGGGGAGCGGGCGGCAGGCCCGCGGACGGAGGUGGGGGCGGCGCCUGGCGGAGGAAGUUUUCCGGCCCGCAGGGUUCUGCGAAGGGGACCAGGUGGAGACCGAGAUCCCCGCACAAAAGAGAGUUUUGGGGGUGGUGGUGGAGGGUGGUGAUGAGGGACGAGGGGUCGCGAAGCCCCGCGCCCAGGCGGCUGCUGGUGGGAAGGUCUGGCACGCAUCGCCGCCGGGUCCCUCUGCAAAGACCCAGGCAACUUCGCCUCGCCGCCGCUGACCCUCUUCCUGCGAAGGAAAAAAGUGAACUUGCUCAGAUCCUCGAUUUUGCUGGCGGUUCAGUUGUUUCUGCUUUGGUAUUGAGUUUGUUUCUGCCUUUCAGUAUUAACAGCCAAGUGUCCUCAAUUCUCAAGUGUGUGUGUAUAUUUAUAUAUUCUGUAGUGUGUGUGUAUGAAACCUCCUAGGUACUUUAUGAUAUACACAUAUAUAAUACACACAUAUAUUGUAUAGUGUGUGCAUAUAUGUAUUCUUUUGUGUAUAUAUAUUCUAUAGUGUGUGUAUAUAUUCUAUUGUGUGUAUAUAUAUUUUAUUGUGUGUAUAUAUAUUCUACAGUGUGUAUAUGUAUAUUUUAUAGUCUGUGUGUGUAUAAAACACACACAUGUAUAUAUAUGAAAUCUCCUAGGUACUUGAUGAUCUCAUCUGGAUAAAUUAAAACCCAGAUCUGUAAUGUUUAUUCUUAGUUUACAAAAGGCAGGAAAAAAAUGUGUGAGACACAUGUCUGCAAAUAUAUCACAAGUACUUUCCUUCUGCUUGAAAAAGUUGCUGCAAAUGUCUUCUCCUUCGCUGAUCCUGGACCACUUCUACUUCUGGGGGAAACUAAAUCUGGUCACCAAUAAAGCACCCAUCCGAUCAAGCAAUUAAAUACCAAUUAUGACUACUAAUGACUGUAUACUAAUGACUGGAGUUGAGGACUCCAAACCCAGCUCCAGGUAAUCAAGCCGUUUCAAAAUUCUGCUACCUGAGACCUUUACAGCACACCACCCCAGUAAAGGAGGUAAGAAGACAGAUGAUGUUCUCAAAGAGUUCUCCAGGAGGGAGACAUGGUCGGAUUUCUUUCUUUCUGUAAAGUCGAUGUUUACUGCUGGUGGAUAACGGAGUCUUCAUUUCUGGCCGAAUGAAGUGAUGCAAAGUGUAAUUGAUGGUGGUGUUUAUUUAGUGAGGAUGCAGAAUUGGGGGGCAGGCUAGGAGGGGAGGGUGCGUUCUCUCUCCAGUUACUCUGGUAAAUGCUGAAAGCCCUGGAUGAUUUUACGAAACAAGUGUUUUAAAUCUUUACCUGGGGUCAUGGAUAUCAAGAUGGCUGGGAGUUGAAGAAAUGAGGGAUGGUGAAUUCAGGGGGCAAAGGAGAAAUAAGGAACUUGGUCCAGGUUUCAAUUUUUCUUUUUGCUCAUGGGUUCGCAUGGUUUUAGCCUGAGUGACUGUUCAAAAGAAAAGUUGAGUGAGACUCAUCUGCUUGGUGAAAAAGCUCCUGGGGCUGAGGAUGGUUCACGGAUCUCCUUCCCUCUUUAAUGACACCCUCUUCUUAUCCUGAAUGUGCUCAGUUCUGGUAUGGGAGGAUGCGGCAUGGAUGGAGGGAGGGAGGGAACGUAUUGCUGUUGGGAAUCCAUAGUGAGAGGACAGGGCAGCUGGCAGGGGCCCUGACCAGCCACCAUGAGGCAGGCAGGCUCAGCCAGGGGGCAGUUGGAAGUGUCCCUCCCCUCUGCUCCUUGCCAAGAGUUCAGCCCUUUCAGCCUGCCUGUUGGGGACCCUGUGAGAACUGGGGCAGUAAAUGUGUUAAGGACGUCUCCCCAGCUCCUUGCUGGCUCCCCGUGAAAGCCAAAGCAGCAGCAUACACCUGGUUCUGAUGUCUUUACCAGGCUGGUAUAAUGCCCAGGUUGCAUGCAGAAACCUGAGCUGCUUUUGACCAGCAAACUCCUUGGCUAAGGAGCAUAAACGGGGGGAUGGUUUCAGAGUGCCUGGCUGCCCCUUCUCUCCCUGUGAAGCACGUGACUCCACCCCAUUCUGUUCUGUUAGAGUUAAUUGCCCUGCAGUGAGAAUAUCUCACACCUCAGCCUAGGAAAACAGCAGAGAAAGGAUCCCCCACAGGUAACUGGACGGUGCAGGGUCAGCUUGGACAACUGACGGGUCCCCAAACCACAUCUGAAUGAAAUGGGCCUGUGGCAUGCCUCGCUGGCGGCUCUUUUUGCCCGGCUCAUGCUGUCAGCUGCCCCCAUGAGACCCUGUGGUUCCAAGUAGAGCUGCAACCACCCCUGGGAGUGGGCAGCUGAUCCCAGAGGCAGAUCUUAACAGGACAGCUCCACAGUCAACAACUUAUUCCCUGUUGACCCUGAGACUCCCAGGGAAGAGGGGACUAGAGGCUGGUAUACAGCUCAGCAUCCAGGCAGUGUGCGCCCUGCCUACCACAGGGCCUGGCAGUGGGGUAGCGAGCAGGCCAGGGCUGGGGGACAUGGCUCAGGAAAUCUGCUGUUCCCUUUGCUGGGGUCGGCUGCACACGAGUCCAGAACAGCAAAUAUCUGUGAAGAGGGGUGUGAGUGGCGGCUGGUGCUGGCCCUGUGUCCUGCCAGGGUCCCAGGGCUCCAUGCUGGAAGAAAGCUCCCCCAAAGGUGGCCUGGGCAGAUUCCAGAGGCCAUUUGGCCCUCCCCCCACCCCUAUCACUCCCACCUUACGUCACAGAGGCCGGCAUCAUCUAGGUCUGAGAGAACUUGCUUUCCCAGGAAACCUGGUGGUGGGGGAUUCUGGUGAGAGUUGGAGGCAAGUUUCUUCACUUUACUUAAACAUUGUUUGGAAAGUGACACAGAAAGAAGAUAGCAAACACGUUUUCGUUACUCACAUAGGGCUCCUUUGAUGUCAGAAAACUGCCCCCCUGCAUAAGCCUCCACUAAAUGGAGGUUAGCGGAAGGAAGGGGUUUACUCUGUCUCCUCCACCCGAGACAGUACAAUUGAAUUUUGUUCUUGAAAAGAAAACAGUGCUGGAAACUUUCCCCAGCCAGACCCACCUAAGUUUCAUCAAGGUUUCUUGUCAGCCACUCUAACCCACCCCCAUCUCCUUUUCCUUUCUUGUUUGUAUCUAAAAGUUGCAUUUGAGGAGGGUUUAUACAAUGUUGUUCAUGUCAGCAAGCCUCCCCUUCCUCUCCUCUCUCACCCAUCCCCCUGGAUGGAAUCUAAGCUGGAAACCACACACAGAAAAGAUUCUCUCUAAAAAUUUCUGCUAUUCUUCCCAACUAGAGGAGUUGACAAGACGUAGACACAUUAAGUUGCAGAAAAUACAGUGGACUGAUCAGCCAGAAUGCAUCUCAUUUGCACUUGUAUGUAGCUAGGGGUAGGGGCCAGAGUCACUCACUGCCUCCAGCCCUCUCGCUAUGCUGGGCUGACUGGCUGGAAUUUCCGAGCAGGCCCCACUGCAGGGGCCAUUCGUGGGGUCGCAGCCCCAGCCCAGCCUAGGCCAGUGGGAGGAGGUGAGGGUGGUUUGAGGCAUCUGGAGGCCUAGCUUGAGGGCUGCAGCCAACUUUGGCAGAUCCUCUGCUCUGGGCAGCUUGGGGGCUGGGAGACCUGGAAAGGUAGGUGCUGGCCACUGGGUGAUCAGGUUAGCAACCAUUCCCAGUAAAGAGAUAGCCACUGGCCACAUAUCCACAUAUUACAUUCCCUCCCACCUCUCUCCCAAGGUUCUGCCUUCAUCACCCACUUUGUCCUCAUCCACCCACGGGUGGAGGGACAGCUCUGCCCAUGCUGGGUUCUUCCACCUGCUUCUGUGUCCUGAACUGGGACCCUGAGCUUUUUGCUCUCUUCCUGCCUGUCUCCUUCUCAGCCCACGCGCCGAGUUCCCAGGGAAGCCAGUGGGGACAGUUAGGGUGAAGUCACAGAACUUUGAGGUAUUCCCACUCCCCAGCCAGCAACCCACCCACUUUCCAGUGCUGCCUCGAACUGUUCCAGACCUGGGACUAGGGCACAACGUUGGCAACCCAUGUGUUCUGCCACCCCCCACCCCCAGCAGCUGGAGGCCCAGGCUGCAUUGGGGUGCAGGGUCACUACCAGGGCUCCACACAGCUAGGCUCAGGCCUCAGGAAAGGCAAGCAGCCCCAAGAGCGUGUCCUGGAGGCGUCCUUUCCACAGUGUCCCGCUGGCUUCCCUUGCAAGGCCCUGGUGAUUCAACCCCCAGAGCUCCCUGCUGCAGUGCUCCGUCUGGCCAGGCAGGGAGGCAUGCUGGGCCUUGCCACCUGGCAUCCAGGCACCCCUGGGCCCCACCGCAGCCCAUUGCCUUCCCAGACAACCAGGUGCUUGCUCAACAAGACCAGCGCUCGCCCGCCUGCCCGGGGACCAGCCCACGGCGGCCUGCAGGAGCACGGGCGAGGUGGAGAAUCCGUGCAGCGGGCCCUGCGCCAUGUACAGCGCCAGCACAUCCACAGAGCCCCAGGGACCAUCAAGCGACCCCCCCUCAGGAGCUGGGGACACGCCUGUAAGGUGUGCAGUCCUUUGGAGAUCCCUGGUGCUACUUUGGCACGAAUCCUUUGUUACAGCUUUGGGAGCCUGCUUGCCUGUCAGCGGCUCCCGCUCCUGGGCCUGCCACCUCCACCAGCCCCUGCUCCCUCCUGCAGAGAGGGCCGGGUGCAGGGGAGCUUCGUGGACCAACUGUCCUGCUCCACAUCCCCUCCUGCCAAGUGCUUGUCCCUCGGUUACCUCUCCCCUUGGUGCUUGGGGCAAAUGAGCAUGUUUUGCACCACCUUCGCCUUUGGGGCGAGGUUCUCCCAGAAAAACAGGCUUUCUGAAUGUGACCUCGGGCGGCAGCAGGCAACUUCCCGCUGCUGGUGAAAGAGCUGCUCUCCUGCCCCAGGCCAAGGUGACUGGGUGCACGCUGCAGGGCCAUGAGCAGGUGGUAACCUGCUCUCCCACAGUCAGGAUUUGAGGAUUCUGACCAAAAGGGCGGGGUAAGGAUAACACAGCUGGGACCUAACUUGGCUCCUAAGGGCUCCAGGGCCACCAGGGCCUGGUGUUCCUAGGUAGGAAGUUUCUCCUCCAGCCCCCAGAUUAUGCACAAGUUCUCCUUAGCCUGAAUACAGCUAGGGGCAGGAUGUUUAAAGGAUGCUCCAGCACAGGCACAGAGGAGGUGCAAGCUAUGACUUUCCAUGCACAUGGGCUUGCAUGCAUCGUCGUAAGUGGCCACACUCCCAUCUCUCAGAGUUUUUCCAUUUAAUCUGUCUAAAUUCCUUUUUUCUGGGCCUUUUUGCCUACACAUAGUCACCUGAGUGAGGGCCUAUCCCCACAGAAAGUUCUGUGCGUUAUGUAACACACGCACGCAGGGAUCCCUUUGGUUACCAAUUUGCUCCAAUCAGCCAGCAACUGGCUUUCUGGCUGGGAUGGGGGUGAUGCGAAUAGAGGUGGAGGCUUCGUUCCCUGGGGGGCUUCCCCUGCCUCCUUGAAGCCCCACUUCAGGCCCAGAAACAAAAGGGUAGGUAACUGAUCCAUCUUUGGUCUGUCUCUUCGUGUCCACCCGCCUCGCCUACAAACCAGCAGGCCUUCCUUUUUGACAAACAGAGGACAGCCUAUGAAUUCAGGUACACAGGUAGGGAGUGCUGAGCUGUGAGGCACUCCCCAUCAAUGGAAAUCAAAACUCCCAUUUUACGGUGUGGGCUGCAGGCUUGAGCCUUGAGUCUCCACCACCUCCUCUACCCUCCCUGGACCUAAGGCUAUUUGCUUAGCCUUCCUCUCUUGUUAAAAUAGUUCCUGGAAGAGCUAAAGAUGUCAGGUUCGAAGCAUUUUAAAGCCCUGCUGGGAAAAAAUCUUGUAGGGGUAUAAAACACAAUCAGUAGGAUAGCCUGAGCAAGUUUGAAAGAUUUCUUUCCCCACAUGUUAAUGAAAAAUUGUUUCUAGGUGUUGUUUUGUUCUCGGAUUGUUGUAACCUAUACAGUCUCAAGCCCCAGCUAGUAAGAUGUUUGUCUUCAUAUUGCUAGUUUCUGGGUGAUACUGUACUUUCUAACUAGACCUAAUUUAUUUUUCAUUUUAAACGCUGCCGGAGACUGUUCAACCUUGGAAACAUGAAUGAAGAAUAGACUCUCUCCCUUUGAGAGUGUCACAGGGGCAGAGUGGAAGGACCCCUUCACACCUCCAGUGUGCAGUGUUCCAGUCAACUAAAUGGACUUGCCUUCAGCCAGGAGGGAGCCAUUUCUGCAGGACAGAACUAAUAUUGGGUCUCCCAGGAAGCUCUUCAUCAAAACAGCCCUUGUCCUUUUUUUGUUGUUUCUGAAUUAAAAAGAUGCGUUUGCCUUCCUCUCCGUAUUCACGCCCUUAUUUUGUAGCCACAAUGAAAUCAGUUCAGUUCUUUAUAUCCUCUGUUAAUGUCUUAUUUUGGGGGGCCUCAGGAAGCUCCAAACCCGCCUUGGUGUGUCCUGUGCUUCUGAUGUUUACUCACUACUCCCUGGGUCACCCGGAGACUCAUACUCAGUUCUUCCUCCACUUGGGUAUCACUUCUCUCCUAAAG
ensembl:lncRNA